rnacentral:SRP_RNA from 1 species
UACAUGGUACAACAUUUAUGACUGAACCAGGUCAGAAUCGGAAGAUAGCAGCCUUAAGGUCCUCUAAGUGUGUGUACCUUUUUAUU